rnacentral:lncRNA from 1 species
GUUGCUGCUGCGACGCCGAGGACGAGCCGGCGGUCAGGCCGUCCAGCACCUUCCUGAUGUUGAAUUUCCUCAUGGUCUCGGAGGGGCUCCCCCGCAGCCCGGGAGGGGAGGCACAGGGGGUCCCCGGGCGGGGGAGACCACCCGGGGCCGAAGGCAGCUUCGACCGCGGAAACGGAGGAGUGGGAGUGUGAGGAGAAAUAUGCAAUGAUGACAUUUCCAAGAAGUGAUGGCAUCUGGCGCUAAGGACAAAGAAUGGGAUUUUGCCACAGGGAUCUUAUUCUCCCACAUGUUCUGUCUGAAGGAGAAAGUUAUCUGAGGCCUUAUAUGAUGCAAAACUUUGGACUCAAAGAAAUUAAAUCACUUGCCCAAGGUUACAUAGCUGCCCCUGGCAAACACCAUUCUACUUUCCGUCUCUAUGAAUUUGACUACUCGAAGUACCUCAUGUGAAAUGUUGGUGCCAAAUGAACUUUUCUGGUUCUUCUGAAUAUGCCACUGUUGCUGGAGAAAUGUCACUGCUAGAGAACAGAAGACUAUUAUUCCAAAGGGUAUUUGAGACUGACUGAAUCAGGUCUGGAACAUUAUUGAAAUGAGACCCACAAAAGAAGAGAUACUGAGGUGGUGACCAGAUGGAUAUAAACGGGCUGUGGAAAAAGAGAAUGCAUGGCCAAAAAUGGUGGUGCUCUCUGUCCAAAAACUGAGGCCCUAUGACCAUGAAUGAAGCCAGAGGGCAGGUAGGAAUAGAUCAUUUGCUCCAGAAGAAGCUGGUUGCCAUGUCUUGAGGACAGUAAACCCUCUGGGGAGGUUCCUGUGGUAAGGAACAAGGGCUCCUGGCAAUAGCCUCUGAGUGAGCCACCUUGAAAAUGGAUUGUCCAGCCCCAGUCAAGCUUUCAGAUGACUGUAGCUCCUGCCAAUGUCUUCACCACAACCUCAUGAGAUCCCAAGCUACAACCACUCAGUUAAGUUAUGCCAAAAUUCCUGAUUCACAGAAAUUGACAUACAGGAGAGGUCACAGUUAAGAUCUUGAUGUUCUAUCUUGACCCAUAAUAUAGGAACUUCAUCUUUUGGGAAGCACCAGGGAGAGCUGCCUGUGCCUGGCAGAAGCUGCCCAUGCCCCACUGAUACCCCACAGUACUUCCUGUUCUGCUUAGUACUCCUGCUUCUUUCUACAAACAACUGUGAUUCUCUACCUGGGAGCUUCCUCUGGCCACAGGAGCCUGCUCACCUGAUUGGGACACCCUAGCAGUACUGGCUCAUAGAUGGAAGGGACUUGCCUUGUCGCUGAUGAGACUUUCGACUUGGACUUUUGAGUCAAUGCUGGAAUGAGUUAAGACUUUGGGGAACUGUUGGAAGGGUGUGAUUGUGUUUUGAAUUGUGAGGACAUGAGAUUUUGAAGAGGCUAAUGGCAGCGUCCCCACCUAAAUCUCUUCUUGAAUUGUAGUUCCCAUAAUCCCCACGUGUCGUGGGGUGGAGCCGGUGGAGAUAAUUGAAUCAUGGGAACACUUUCCCCCAUGCUGUUAUUGUGAUUGUGAAUUCUCACGAGAUCUGAUGGUUGUAUAAACGCCUUCCCUCUUCGCUGGGCACUCAUUUUUCUCCUUCCUGCCACCAUGUGAAGAAGGAUAUGCUUGCUUCUUGUGCCAUGAUUACAAGAACACACUCAGAAAUUUUCUCAACACAGUUUCUAUGCAGAGAAGAGAUGUGGGACAGAUUUGAACUGCUGUCAUAUUUGUAUGAACCCAAGACAUUUUCCAAGACCAAGAGGGAUAAAGACAGCAAUUUCUAUGACUGGCAUUUUACGUGCAUGCACUGUUUCCAAGUGUUCUUGUGUUCUGUGCCUUAAACAUUCUGUGUUGCAACUUUAUGAAUUGAAUUAAAGAUAAUCCCAAGCC